rnacentral:rRNA from 1 species
UACGAAGGGGGCUAGCGUUGCUCGGAAUCACUGGGCGUAAAGCGCACGUAGGCGGCUUUUUAAGUCAGGGGUGAAAUCCUGGAGCUCAACUCCAGAACUGCCUUUGAUACUGGAGAGCUUGAGUCCGGGAGAGGUGAGUGGAACUCCGAGUGUAGAGGUGAAAUUCGUAGAUAUUCGGAAGAACACCAGUGGCGAAGGCGGCUCACUGGCCCGGUACUGACGCUGAUGUGCGAAAGCGUGGGGAGCAAACAGG